UACGGAGGGGGCUAGCGUUGUUCGGAAUUACUGGGCGUAAAGGGCGUGUAGGCGGCGGAUCAAGUCAGGCGUGAAAGCCCCGGGCUCAACCUGGGAUGUGCGCUUGAUACUGAUUUGCUAGAGUCCGGGAGAGGCGAGUGGAAUAUCCAGUGUAGAGGUGAAAUUCGUAGAUAUUGGAUGGAACACCAGUGGCGAAGGCGGCUCGCUGGACCGGAACUGACGCUGAGGCGCGAAAGCGUGGGGAGCAAACAGG
rnacentral:rRNA from 1 species